rnacentral:rRNA from 1 species
AUACGGAGGAUGCGAGCGUUAUCCGGAUUUAUUAGGUUUAAAGGGUGUGUAGGCGGUAUUUUAAGUCAGUGGUGAAAUCUUUCAGCUUAACUGAGAAAUUGCCAUUGAUACUGGAAUACUUGAGUAUAGUUGAGGUAGGCGGAAUAUGUAAUGUAGCGGUGAAAUGCAUAGAUAUUACAUAGAACACCGAUUGCGAAGGCAGCUUACUAAACUAUUACUGACGCUGAUGCACGAAAGCGUGGGGAGCGAACAGGAUUAGAAACCCUUGUAGUCC